rnacentral:rRNA from 1 species
GGCGUGCCUAAUACAUGCAAGUCGAGCGAACAGACGAGGAGCUUGCUCCUCUGACGUUAGCGGCGGACGGGUGAGUAACACGUGGAUAACCUACCUAUAAGACUGGGAUAACUUCGGGAAACCGGAGCUAAUACCGGAUAAUAUAUUGAACCGCAUGGUUCAAUAGUGAAAGACGGUUUUGCUGUCACUUAUAGAUGGAUCCGCGCCGCAUUAGCUAGUUGGUAAGGUAACGGCUUACCAAGGCAACGAUGCGUAGCCGACCUGAGAGGGUGAUCGGCCACACUGGAACUGAGACACGGUCCAGACUCCUACGGGAGGCAGCAGUAGGGAAUCUUCCGCAAUGGGCGAAAGCCUGACGGAGCAACGCCGCGUGAGUGAUGAAGGUCUUCGGAUCGUAAAACUCUGUUAUUAGGGAAGAACAAAUGUGUAAGUAACUAUGCACGUCUUGACGGUACCUAAUCAGAAAGCCACGGCUAACUACGUGCCAGCAGCCGCGGUAAUACGUAGGUGGUAAGCGUUAUCCGGAAUUAUUGGGCGUAAAGCGCGCGUAGGCGGUUUUUUAAGUCUGAUGUGAAAGCCCACGGCUCAACCGUGGAGGGUCAUUGGAAACUGGAAAACUUGAGUGCAGAAGAGGAAAGUGGAAUUCCAUGUGUAGCGGUGAAAUGCGCAGAGAUAUGGAGGAACACCAGUGGCGAAGGCGACUUUCUGGUCUGUAACUGACGCUGAUGUGCGAAAGCGUGGGGAUCAAACAG